UAGAAUUUUAAUGAGUAAGCUAUAGAAUCUUUCUUAGUAUCUUUUAAAGUAUAUAUAAAUAUAUAGUUUUCCUAUAUUGUAAGGAAUAUCGGUUAAUCUUCUUAUCUUCAUAAUUGUUUUAAAAUAAAAUACAAAAAAAAAGGAGAAAAAAAAAAGAAGAACACAAAAUGAAGUAAACUUACGUAAAAAAAAAAAAUAGAUAAAGUUUGGUAAAACAAAAAUGUCUGAUUCUCAUCUUUUCCCAACUCCCCACUUCACGUCUCUCACACGUCUCACUUUAUUGCACACACAUACGAUCAAUACUAUUCACCUGUACAUCUUCCAUCCAUAACUCCUAUACAUGCCUAUAUAGUGACUUUUCUGAAAAACAAAAAGGGGGUGAAGGAGGAAAUGAAAGUGACGAGAAACAGAGGGGAAACAGGAACGAGAAAAAACAGAGCAUAAAAACGAGAUCCGAAAAAAGAAAAUGCAUCUUUCAUCUUCAUCAAAGAUCCAGCUCUAGAACCAGCCUUUAUCAGUCAGAAAUCAGCCUUCAAACUCCAUAAACACAGCAGUUUGGUCUUACUCACCGUCGAUUCGAGUUUCCGUCCGCGGUUCGUUACAUUUUUGAGUUCAAAGUUAUCAAACAAUUGAAUUUCAGACUUAUUCGAGGUUUUUCUGCAAAGUACGGACUGGAUGUGAAAAAAUAAGAUUCAAUCUCUCGCCAAAGAAAGUGCAACGUUUGAUCUCAAAUACCAGCCGCAACCAACUUUGACAUAAUGCAUGCAUGCGGAGACAUAGAGUCUCAAGAUCCAUCCUUUUAUCAUCUGAUCAAGGAACAAGCUGUGAGAAUAUUUCAUAGUCUGUUGCAUCGAUAGGAUCAAGUUUAAGUCUAAAGUCAAUGGAGGAAGCAAGUCAAAAAUCAAAACAAGACUUCAAAUGGCAUUAAGAUAGGCAUUUUGUAAUUCUUAGAUUUCAAGAGUAUGUAAUCUUCUUUUCAUUUUGAUGUAAUAGUAGGAACCGCGGAUCGAAACCUCGAUGGAACUUCACUCGACUCUCCCUCUAAGCAUACUCCAUCACUCUUCUUUCACUUGAACUACAUAUGACUUGAUUCCCUUAUAACCCGGGAUAUGUAGGCUGCCUAAAACCAAGGCUCGGCCACAUCUCUUUCUUUUAUCUUCUUUUCCUUGUUAAAUAAUAGUGAGGUCAAAAAUCA